rnacentral:rRNA from 1 species
CAACAGGGAUUCCCCUAGUAACGGCGAGUGAAGCGGGAACAGCUCAAAUUUGAAAUCUGGCCCUCGGGUCCGAGUUGUAAUUUGUAGAGGAUGCUUUUGGUGCGGUGCCUUCCGAGUUCCCUGGAACGGGACGCCUUAGAGGGUGAGAGCCCCGUACGGUUGGACGCCUAGCCUCUGUAAAGCUCCUUCGACGAGUCGAGUAGUUUGGGAAUGCUGCUCUAAAUGGGAGGUAUAUUUCUUCUAAAGCUAAAUACUGGCCAGAGACCGAUAGCGCACAAGUAGAGUGAUCGAAAGAUGAAAAGCACUUUGAAAAGAGGGUUAAAUAGCACGUGAAAUUGUUGAAAGGGAAGCGUUUAUCACCAGACUUUUUCUGGGGGGAUCAUCCGGUGUUCUCACCGGUGCACUUCCCCCAGUGGAGGCCAGCAUCGGUUUUCGGAGGGGGAUAAAAGCUUCGGGAAUGUGACUCCCUCGGGAGUGUUAUAGCCCGUUGCAUAAUACCCUUCUGGGGACCGAGGUUCGCGCAUCUGCAAGGAUGCUGGCAUAAUGGUGAUCAACGACCCGUCUUGAAACACGGACCAAGGAGUCGAACAUUUAUGCGAGUGUUUGGGUGUCAAACCCUCACGCGUAAUGAAAGUGAACGGAGGUGAGAGCCCUUACGGGUGCAUCAUCGACCGAUCCUGAUGUCUUCGGAUGGAUUUGAGUAAGAGCAUAACUGUUCGGACCCGAAAGAUGGUGAACUAUGCGUGGAUAGGGUGAAGCCAGGAGAAAUCCUGGUGGAGGCUCGCAGCGGUUCUGACGUGCAAAUCGAUCGUCAAAUCUGCGCAUGGGGGCGAAAGACUAAUCGAACCAUC